AUUACAACGAUGGAACCCCUCUUCUUCGUGCAGUCGUGCUCUACCGUUCAAUCCCAGGCCGCCACCGCGCACCACCCAUCCUGCCGCAACGCUCCCCACGUCUGGCCUCUCACCGCAUCUCGUGCUCUCAUCUCUCAGCCUUCCAAGUUUCAGCAGGGUUUCCAUAUCCUGGAGAAACCACCCGUGUUAUAUAUUUUGUUGCUUUGUUGUGUAAAUUGUAAACAUAUACUGUAGUUAUAUAUAAUAUCCUGUGAUUAUGAUUAUCUUUUCUAUAGAAUAUCAGUGUUUAGGGUUUUAGACUUUAGUUGCUGUAAUCUCCAAUCCCAAAUGAAAAGCAGCACUAUGUUGUUAGAUGAGAUGAAAUGAGGCAGGUGAAGGCGCUUCAGCUGUUUCAUGAUUUGGUGAACAAGAAUGAACCAGCUCGGUUGCUUGGUUUGGAUGUCGGUGAUAAAUACGUUGGUCUUGCUCUUUCCGACUUCCAGAACAAGAUUGCUUCGCCCUUUAGUGUUCUGGUCAGGAAGAAAUCAAAUAUUGAUUUAAUGGCUUCCGAUUUCGAGACUCUAAUCUCUAAAUAUUCAUUGAAGGGCUUUGUUGUUGGCCUCCCUUUCAGCUGUCACCGUGUUUCUACUGAUGCUGGACAAGUGAAGGUCUUCAUUGAUGCCCUUUCUAGAACUAAAAAACUUCAAGGUCUGAAAUAUACUUAUUGGAACGAGUCUUUCACGUCAAAGAAUGUUGAAUUGCUCUUAAGGCCUUUGAACUUGAAUAAUGCAGUUCAUUCCAAGACUAUGCUCGACAAAUUUGCUGCUGUAGGGAUACUCCAGGGGUACCUGGAUUAUGUUAACAGAAAAAUGAAGUUAAUUGAAACAGAGUAAGACUCUAAUAAUGGUGUCUCUUUCUGCAGGUAGGCAUGAGCCAGAUAUCACAUGUAGAAAACUGUUGUUGUAAAGACUUUUUAUCCAAAGAAUAAAGAAUCCAUGUAGAAUGCACAGUUAGAUGGAUUAUGGAAUUGAAGAUGUAAACAAUGAUAUAUUACUUUGGGACUUCAUCAGUGUUUUAUGUUACUGGUUGAUCAAUAGGUAGAACUUGUGUAAGCACCAAAGUAGGGGAAGGAAAAAUUGGCUUCACAGAAGAUCAAACGUGCGACAUCAACUCCAGCAAAUUUUAAACCUUUUAAAGUUGAACGGCAAGCUUGUUGUGAUUGACUCUAUUCAAUUUAUUUCUUGGAGAUUAGCAGAGAAAUUAUUAAGAAAAAGCAGAGAAAGUAGAAAAAAGACUUGGUCUCAGCAAUUUGACUGCCCCACCAAAUAGACUACAACCAAUUUCUUUGGAAAGCAAGCAUCAAAUUAUUUCAUUAACAUACUUUUACUUUUUUUUUUUUUUGGGAAUUUGAUUAUGACGAAAAGUGACUCAGGAAAUUGUUUUCUCAAGCCAAGCUCCAUACUUGUACCUUGCUCUUUGUAGGUAUUACUUGGUAAGUACCAUGUUAAUUCUUCGAGCUUGCACAUGCUGGAAGUUUUGGAGAAACUUUGGAUUGCGUUUCUUUUCUGUUAUAGAUUCUAUAAAAUAUUUAGUAUUUGUGUUUGUUUUCA